rnacentral:rRNA from 1 species
AGGGUGCGUAGGCGGCGCGGUAAGUUGGGUGUGAAAGCCCUCAGCUCAACUGAGGAACUGCACUCAAAACUACCGUGCUCGAGGGAGACAGAGGUAAGCGGAACUCAAGGUGGAGCGGUGAAAUGCGUUGAUAUCUUGAGGAACACCGGUGGCGAAGGCGGCUUACUGGGUCUUUUCUGACGCUGAGGCACGAAAGCUAAGGUAGCAAACGGGAUUAGAUACCCCGGUAGUCUUAGCUGUAAACGAUGAGCACUUGAUUGAAGGGUCCUCCAUAGCCUUUCAGUCGUAGCGAAAGUGUUAAGUGCUCCGCCUGAGGAGUAUGGUCGCAAGGCUGAAACUCAAAGAAAUUGACGGGGGCUCACACAAGCGGUGGAGGAUGUGGCUUAAUUCGAGGCUACGCGAAGAACCUUAUCCUAGUCUUGACAUGUAUGGAUUAACCCUGUGAAAGCAGGGCCACGCCUUCGGGUGGAACAUACACAGGUGCUGCAUGGCUGUCGUCAGCUCGUGUCGUGAGAUGUCGCGUUAAGUCGCUUAACGAGCGAAACCCUUGUCACUAGUUGCCAGCACGUAAAGGUGGGGACUCUAGUGAGACCGCCGGCGUUAAGCCGGAGGAAGGUGGGGAUGACGUCAAGUCCUCAUGGCCCUUAUGACUAGGGCUGCACACGUCCUACAAUGGAACGCACAAAGGGAUGCAAAACCGCGAGGUCGAGCAAAUCCCAAAAAACGUUCCCUAGUUCGGAUUGCAGGCUGCAACUCGCCUGCAUGAAGCUGGAAUCGCUA